UACGUAGGGUGCAAGCGUUUAAUCGGAAUUAUUGGGCGUAAAGAGCUCGUAGGCGGUUUGUUGCGUCGGCUGUGAAAUCCCGAGGCUCAACCUCGGGUCUGCAGUCGAUACGAGCAAACUAGAGUGUUGCAGGGGAGACUGGAAUUCCUGGUGUAGCGGUGAAAUGCGCAGAUAUCAGGAGGAACACCGGUGGCGAAGGCGGGUCUCUGGGCAACAACUGACGCUGAGGAGCGAAAGCGUGGGGGAGCGAACAGG
rnacentral:rRNA from 1 species